AUUGAACGCUGGCGGCAGGCCUAACACAUGCAAGUCGAACGAGUGGCGGACGGGUGAGUAAUGUCUGGGAAACUGCCUGAUGGAGGGGGAUAACUACUGGAAACGGUAGCUAAUACCGCAUACCAUCAGAUUUGCCCAGAUGGGAUUAGCGAGUUGGUGGGGUAACGGCUAACCAAGGCGACGAUCCCCAGCUGGUCUGAGAGGAUGAUAAGCAACACUGGAACUGAGACACGGCCCAGACUCCUACGGGAGGCAGCAUUGGGGAAUAUUGCACAAUGGGCGCAAGCCUGAUGCAGCCAUGCCGCGUGUAUGAAGAAGGCCUUCGGGUUGUAAAGUACUUUCAGCGGGGAGGCGUUACCCGCAGAAGAAGCACCGGCUAACUCCGUGCCAGCAGCCGCGGUAAUUC
rnacentral:rRNA from 1 species